CAUCAUGUGCUUUUCAGAGCUGGGGCAGAGGGUUACCACCUUGGGGUGAUUGGCAGUCACAGUUAAAACAGACCGCACCCUCAAUCAAUCCCAGUAUGAGUACAUCAGGAGCAGGGGCGUCUCCACAGGGAGGAUCAGCUACUGCUGAUGUGCAGAGAUGCUGUGGUUCAGAUACGCAAACAGGAGCAACACUCAGCACGUUAGUGACAGCAGCUCUG